GUAGAACCAACCUCGUACCCAGGGUCUUACCUAUGGGAGGGCGUGCGAAGGCAAGAGCCUGGGUACGAGGUUGAUAUAGAACAAGGGAUCAGGCCACAAUUAUUUGGACUAUGUCGAACGCAUAUGGUCGAACGGCGUUCACUGAACUUAUAGUCAAUUCCUGCCAGGGGGGACGGCGUCCCCCCAUGUUUGAUUAGAGACUUUACGAUUUUAGGACGGCAACGCGACGGCCAAAACAAACUCCUUCAAAUAAAUGGUAGUAAAGAUAGUUCGUAGUAUAUUAUCAAUCGUAUGAAUUUAAUACAAUUUUAGAAGCUGAAGACAUGAGUUUUAUGGUUGGGAAGAGUUCUGCUAAACCCAGUCCGAAGUUGCGCUUGUUGCGGCUUGGCCCGCAGCCGUUGUAUCAAGACUUGAAAAUCUGUUAUUUGGCGUUGUAAACAGAGCG